GGCAGCCUGUGAUUGGACAGCAACAGAAAGUCUGGGUGGGGUUAGAAGGGGAGGGGUUGCAAAGGCAGCAGACGAGAACUACAGGCUUUGCAAGCUGAUUUUAGAUUUACCCCCAAUGAAAAAGAUGCAUCAUUAAAUGCAUGCAAGUUUUUAUUUUGGGAGUACAUCUACUAAACAGUUAUUUUGUAUUUGGGCAGUGGAGUGUCCCUUUAAUCAAG